rnacentral:rRNA from 1 species
AUUGAACGCUGGCGGCAGGCCUAACACAUGCAAGUCGAACGGAGUGGCGAACGGGCGAGUAAUGUAUCGGAACGUGCCCAGUAGCGGGGGAUAACUACGCGAAAGCGUAGCUAAUACCGCAUACUAUUGGAGCGGCCGAUACCGGAUUAGCCAGUUGGUGAGGUAACGGCUCACCAAGGCGACGAUCCGUAGCUGGUUUGAGAGGACGACCAGCCACACUGGGACUGAGACACGGCCCAGACUCCUACGGGAGGCAGCAGUGGGGAAUGUUGGACAAUGGGGGAAACCCUGUUCCAGCCAGCCCGCUUGGGCGAUGAAGGCCUUCGGGUUGUAAAGCACUUUUGGCAGGAAAGCGGUACCUGCAGAAUAAGCACCGGCUAACUACGUGCCAGCAGCCGCGGUAAUUC